rnacentral:rRNA from 1 species
UACGUAGGAAGCGAGCGUUGUCCGGAAUUACUGGGCGUAAAGAGCGCGUAGGCGGCGCGGUACGACCGCUGUGAAAGCCCCCAGCUCAACUGGGGAGGGUCAGCGGUAACGGCCGUGCUAUGAGUGCAGGAGAGGGAAGUGGAACGUCCGGGAGUAGCGGUGAAAUGCGUAGAGACCCGGAGGAACACCAGUGGCGAAGGCGGCUUCCUGGUCUGCGACUGACGCUGUGGCGCGAAAGCUAGGGGAGCAAACGGG